rnacentral:rRNA from 1 species
ACGCUGGCGGCAGGCCUAACACAUGCAAGUCGAGCGGUAGAGAGAAGCUUGCUUCUCUUGAGAGCGGCGGACGGGUGAGUAAUGCCUAGGAAUCUGCCUGGUAGUGGGGGAUAACGUCCGGAAACGGACGCUAAUACCGCAUACGUCCUACGGGAGAAAGCAGGGGACCUUCGGGCCUUGCGCUAUCAGAUGAGCCUAGGUCGGAUUAGCUAGUUGGUGGGGUAAUGGCUCACCAAGGCGACGAUCCGUAACUGGUCUGAGAGGAUGAUCAGUCACACUGGAACUGAGACACGGUCCAGACUCCUACGGGAGGCAGCAGUGGGGAAUAUUGGACAAUGGGCGAAAGCCUGAUCCAGCCAUGCCGCGUGUGUGAAGAAGGUCUUCGGAUUGUAAAGCACUUUAAGUUGGGAGGAAGGGCAGUAAAUUAAUACUUUGCUGUUUUGACGUUACCGACAGAAUAAGCACCGGCUAACUCUGUGCCAGCAGCCGCGGUAAUACAGAGGGUGCAAGCGUUAAUCGGAAUUACUGGGCGUAAAGCGCGCGUAGGUGGUUCGUUAAAUUGGAUGUGAAAUCCCCGGGCUCAACCUGGGAACUGCAUUCAAAACUGACGAGCUAGAGUAUGGUAGAGGGUGGUGGAAUUUCCUGUGUAGCGGUGAAAUGCGUAGAUAUAGGAAGGAACACCAGUGGCGAAGGCGACCACC